AGAGUGAUGCGGACCCUCCUGCUGCUGCUGUGGCUGGCGACGCGCGGAAGCGCGCUCUACUUUCACAUCGGAGAGACGGAGAAGAAGUGCUUUAUUGAGGAGAUCCCGGACGAGACCAUGGUCAUAGGAAACUACCGGACGCAGCUGUAUGACAAGCAGCGGGAGGAGUACCAGCCGGCCACCCCGGGGCUUGGCAUGUUUGUGGAGGUGAAGGACCCAGAGGACAAGGUCAUCCUGGCCCGGCAGUAUGGCUCUGAGGGCAGGUUCACUUUCACCUCCCAUACCCCUGGCGAGCACCAGAUCUGUCUUCACUCCAAUUCCACCAAGUUCUCCCUCUUUGCUGGAGGCAUGCUGGUAAGUGGGCCCAUGUGAGACUUGCAGGUUUCAGCCUUCAUCCUUUGGUGAGGACUGGGGGACCGGUGGUGCUGUGGAUGAGAGGAUUAUGUCAGAUUUUGUGUCUCCUAAGAACACUGGGUUUCCAGUGGAUAUCCAGGACACAGUGACUGAGCUCUUUGUAUAUGCCUCACUCAGAGCACCAGCCCAGGCUUAAUACUUGCUUGUGUGCCCAGAGUCCCAUGGGGCUAAGACACUGAAGAGGGCCCAGUCUCUUGGCUAAAUGAACAGAUGAAGGAAAGUCGGGGAUGAGCUGUCAGUCUCUGGCAGGAAGAUGGAGCAGGGCUACCAGAUUUCCCUUAUCUCCUUUGUCUGUCCUCAGAGAGUUCACCUGGACAUCCAGGUAGGUGAACAUGCCAACGACUAUGCAGAAAUUGCUGCUAAAGACAAGUUGAGUGAGUUGCAGCUACGAGUGCGACAGCUGGUGGAACAAGUGGAGCAGAUCCAGAAAGAGCAGAACUACCAGCGGUGGCGAGAGGAGCGCUUCCGGCAGACCAGUGAGAGCACCAACCAGCGGGUGCUAUGGUGGUCCAUUCUGCAGACCCUCAUCCUCGUGGCCAUUGGUGUCUGGCAGAUGCGGCACCUCAAGAGCUUCUUUGAAGCCAAGAAGCUUGUGUAGCUGU
rnacentral:sRNA from 1 species